AGGGGGGUCUGCUCCCAGCCCAUUUCACUGGAUGUUCCAACUAACCUCAUUAACAGUGCUAAACUUAGAGCUUCUAAGUCUCCAAGAACUCUACAUUUUCCAGUGCUACUCAUAUUACAAAUGGCCUAUGUUGGUUGCCCAUUCCUUCUGAAGUACACUACAAUCCAGAAGAUCCAUGGAGUACAGACUGCUUCUCCAACCUAUAGGAGGGAAUAAAGAGCCUCCAGAGAAGAGUGUGCCUUGGGUUGAACAAACACUAUGAGAAGGGAUUUGGAAUAGGAGUGAACAUGCAAGAGUGACAGCAACAUAAAAAAAACAAGUUCAAAGGGUUACAAACUGAAACUUAAAGGGACAUUAAACACAAAUAUUUUCUUUCAUGAUUUAGACAGAGCAUACAUAGGUUAACAAAUUUCCAAUUUACUUCUAUUAUCAAUUUUGCUUAAUUCUGUUGUAACCCUUUUGUUGAAUGAGCAGCAAUGC